rnacentral:rRNA from 1 species
GAUGAACGCUAGCGACAGGCUUAACGCAUGCAAGUCGAGGGGCAGCGGGGGCCGCAAUGCCUGCCGGCGACCGGCGCACGGGUGAGUAACGCGCAUGCAACUUGCCUAUCAGAGGGGAAUAGCCCGGCGAAAGUCGGAUUAAUGCUCCAUAAAACAGGGGUCCCGCAUGGGAAUAUUUGUUAAAGAUUCAUCGCUGAUAGAUAGGCAUGCGUUCCAUUAGGCAGUUGGCGGGGUAACGGCCCACCAAACCGACGAUGGAUAGGGGUUCUGAGAGGAAGGUCCCCCACAUUGGAACUGAGACACUGUCCAAACUCCUACGGGAGGCAGCAGUGAGGAAUAUUGGUCAAUGGCCGGGAGGCUGAACCAGCCAAGUCGCGUGAAGGAUGAAGGAUCUAUGGUUUGUAAACUUCUUUUAUACGGGAAUAAAGUGUGGGACGUGUCCCAUUUUGUAUGUACCGUAUGAAUAAGCAUCGGCUAACUCCGUGCCAGCAGCCGCAGUAACAC